rnacentral:rRNA from 1 species
UACGAAGGGGGCUAGCGUUGCUCGGAAUGACUGGGCGUAAAGGGCGCGUAGGCGGUUUGGACAGUCAGAUGUGAAAUUCCUGGGCUCAACCUGGGGGCUGCAUUUGAUACGUUCGGACUAGAGUGGGGAAGAGGGUCGUGGAAUUCCCAGUGUAGAGGUGAAAUGCGCAGAUAUCAGGAAGAACACCCGUGGCUAAGGCGGCUCUCUAGUACGGUACUGACGCUGAGACGCGAAAGCGUGGGGAGCAAACAGG